ACUCAAAUGAAUUGACGGGGGCCCGCACAAGCGGUGGAGUAUGUGGUUUAAUUCGAAGCAACGCGCAGAACCUUACCAGCCCUUGACAUAUGGAUUAAGGAGAUGAGAGAUCAUUUCUGUCGGUUCGGCCGGAUCCAAUACAGGUGCUGCAUGGCUGUCGUCAGCUCGUGUCGUGAGAUGUUGGGUUAAGUCCCGCAACGAGCGCAACCCUCAUUGCUAGUUGCUAACAGGUUUGGCUGAGCACUCUAGCGAAACUGCCGGUGACAAACCGGAGGAAGGUGGGGAUGACGUCAAGUCCUCAUGGCCCUUAUGGGCUGGGCUACACACGUACUACAAUGGUGGUGACAGAAGGUUGCGAAGGGGUGACUCGGAGCCAAUCCUCAAAAGCCAUCUCAGUUCGGAUUGUUCUCUGCAACUCGAGAACAUGAAGUCGGAAUCGCUAGUAAUCGUAGAUCAGCAUGCUACGGUGAAUACGUUCACGGGCCUUGUACACACCGCCCGU
rnacentral:rRNA from 1 species